UUGAACGCUGGCGGUAUGCUUAACACAUGCAAGUCGAACGGAAACGAUACUAGCUUGCUAGUAGGCGUCGAGUGGCGGACGGGUGAGUAACGCGUAGGAAUCUGCCUGAUAGUGGGGGAUAGCCCGAAGAAAUUCGGAUUAAUACCGCAUAAUCUAUUCGUAGUAAAGUGGGGGACUUUCGAGCCUCACGCUAUCAGAUGAGCCUGCGUAAGAUUAGCUUGUUGGUGGGGUAAAAGCCCACCAAGGCGACGAUCUUUAGCUGGUCUGAGAGGAUGAUCAGCCACAUCGGGACUGAGACACGGCCCGAACUCCUACGGGAGGCAGCAGUGGGGAAUAUUGGACAAUGGGGGCAACCCUGAUCCAGCAAUACCGCGUGUGUGAAGAAGGCCUGAGGGUUGUAAAGCACUUUCAAUUGUGAAGAAAAGUUAGCGGUUAAUAACCGUUAGCCUUGACGUUAACUUUAGAAGAAGCACCGGCUAACUCCGUGCCAGCAGCCGCGGUAAUACGGAGGGUGCAAGCGUUAAUCGGAAUUACUGGGCGUAAAGCGUGCGUAGGCGGUUUAUUAAGUCAGAUGUGAAAGCCCCGGGCUUAACCUGGGAACUGCAUUUGAAACUGGUCAACUAGAGUAUGGUAGAGGGAAAGUGGAAUUUCUGGUGUAGCGGUGAAAUGCGUAGAUAUCAGAAGGAACAUCAAUGGGCGAAGGCAGCUUUCUGGACCAAUACUGACGCUGAGGUACGAAAGCGUGGGUAGCAAACAGGAUUAGAUACCCUGGUAGUCCACGCCGUAAACGAUGAUAACUAGCCGUUGGGGGGAUUUACCCUUUAGUGGCGAAGCUAACGCGUUAAGUUAUCCGCCUGGGGAGUACGGCCGCAAGGUUAAAACUCAAAGGAAUUGACGGGGACCCGCACAAGCGGUGGAGCAUGUGGUUUAAUUCGAUGCAACGCGAAGAACCUUACCUGGUCUUGACAUCCUGCGAACUUUCUAGAAAUAGAUUGGUGCCUUCGGGAACGCAGUGACAGGUGCUGCAUGGCUGUCGUCAGCUCGUGUCGUGAGAUGUUGGGUUAAGUCCCGUAACGAGCGCAACCCCUAUCCUUAUUUGCCAGCACAUUAUGGUGGGAACUAUAAGGAGACUGCCGGUGAUAAACCGGAGGAAGGCGGGGACGACGUCAAGUCAUCAUGGCCCUUACGACCAGGGCUACACACGUGCUACAAUGGGAAGGACAAAGAGCCGCGAAGCCGCGAGGUGUAGCUAAUCUCAUAAACCUUUUCGUAGUCCGGAUUGGAGUCUGCAACUCGACUCCAUGAAGUCGGAAUCGCUAGUAAUCGUAGAUCAGAAUGCUACGGUGAAUACGUUCCCGGGUCUUGUACACACCGCC
rnacentral:rRNA from 1 species